GAAUAUAAUGCAGAUGAAAGUAGACUCUUUGACUGCAACAGAAGAUACUGGAUAUGAAACAGAGAUGAGUGACGAGAUUAAUCAGAUCGUUGUUAACGACACAACAGAAAUCUUGAAGGCGUAAAUUAAAAAAUUAAAAGAAGAGCUAAAUAAAAAAAUUAAUCGCUCCUCAGAAUCUCCAAAGGAUUCGUCUCAGCCGGGAUCACCAUCUAACCAUCUGGGCCAUCAGAGUCGCCGAUACCGCAGCCGCUGAUGUCGCAGCCGCCGAUAUUGCAGCCAGAUAGAAAAAUACAGCACGACGCUGGCAGAAAAGUCGGCGCGCACGCGGCGGACGAGGAAGACGUGACGGAAGUGG